rnacentral:tRNA from 1 species
CGCAGGGCGCCCUCACCCACCCCUCGACACAGUGCCCCCGCGCCUCACAGCAGCCUGAGGAGUGUCCAGCUGGCCCCAACCCCAAUUGGCCACGGGCGCGCGGAGUCUGUCCCCGGAGAAAACUCCUGAACCGGAUUGGGGGCCUGCCGCUCAAAUAGCCCUAGAAAACGUCUCCUCUCUAGACCACUAGCUAGCGCCACCAUUUCAGAGUGACAGCGCCGGGGGGGAGAGGAAACGCCCCGGGCACUUUUCUCAAACUGCAAAGCUACCGCGAGAGGGCGGGGCGCCUGCGACCGGGAAGAGGGCCCGCAGGCCGGGGGUCUGCGCGAACCCAAGGAUGGGGCAGUAAGAAGGUGGUUACUGCUAGUUAAAAGUCAGGGGAGCAGAUCGUCCCGGCUCCGCCUGUGCGCCUCGGGCCGCCACGCCAGGAGUGUGGCCUGGCUGCACCCGCCCCAGGACGAGCGUCGCGGCUGAGACCCCAGGCUUCAUUCCCGGCGCCGGGAGGUAGGGCUCACCCUGCAGGGAGGAGCAACGGGGCAUCCGAUCCCUUCGCCCCGAAAGCGUGACCGCCACCGGGUAGCGCUCAAGCACCUCCGGGCCGCAUCCCCAGGACAGAAUGACAUUAAAGACCCGCCGAAGAAUAACUAGAUGGGGGCAGAUAGAUGGACGACUGGGUUCGAGUGCUGGAUGUUGCAAACCGAUCGGGAAACAGGUAUAAGAUUCCACUGCGCUGUGCUUCCUGCUAGUGGCCGAGCGCGACUUGAGGCAGAGUAGUUACGAGACAGGAACUGAGAAGUCUCCUUUCGGCAAGGAGAUAAAAUGAAUCUUCAGGAUAUCUAAAAAAGGGCCGUGCUCCAGGUGAGGCUCGAACUCACAACCUCGGCAUUGCUCUGCAUGUACUGCUGUAUAAGUACCGCGCGCUAACCGAUUGCGCCACUGGAGCUCCGCUUAGCCGUCCUCGCGAUAGCUCUAUCAGGGUUCACUCGGCCGGGUGCGGGCUUCCGCGGAGCAUGCGCGUCUGCCACUCGCGGCUCCUAGCUCGGACCCGGUCGUUUGCAACUUCCGGCUGGGCAUACACAUGCUGCCUGGCUACUCCGAGGCCAGCAAGCUGGAAAAACCUACGAGUAUUCCCCUCGGGGCUGGAGGGCGGGUUAACAUGGCCGAACUGGGGCCUUGCAAAGGGCGCAGGCCGCGUCCCGGGCAGCGCCUUGGGAGAGGCGGCCUGGUCCCUGCGGCUACAAGCCAACACCGCGUAUUCGGCGGGGCUUCACUCCUAGGAGAGGGCUGCGAGGGGCAGGACCCAGCACUGGGAGCCGGCAGGCAGGCCUCGCGGCUGUGAUGACGCGAGACGAGGGGCGGGGCCUGGGCUCGGAGACUCAAGAUAUCCCGCGGCAACCGCUCGCUGCCCGGCGACCCCAGCCGAGAAGUGCGCUGGAAGGCGCUAACGACUUUCCGCGGGGUGCGGGCGGCCAGGUGGCAUGCUGGAGCCCGGAAAUCUUUGGAAGAUUGUGUCCGAGUUGCUCGAGGGCGGCCUCUGCCGGCGGCGGGCGCGCGGGCCGGAAGGUUGGGCUGCUGGGGGCGGCGACCGACCUUCCAGACCUGGCGCCGCAGGGCCCCAGCCUGGGGCCUUGCUACACCCGCCAGGAGUUCUAGGGCUCCUCCUGCAACCCUAGCGAGGGCUUGGGCACUCCGGGCAGAAGGCUUGUCCCCUGAAGAGGAGUCGCGCCACUUGCAGUCCAUCACCCUUGAUCUUGGAGAGGUUUCAGCAUCUCCCUCAACCCUACGUGUUUUAUUGAGCCACAGAAUGUUAAUUUUUGUUCUCCUAACUUUAAAACCAACUUUUAAAAUUAUUUGAAACCUGGAGCUCUAAUUUAAAUAUCCAAAGAUCCAUUAAAAAAAACAGAAAGUUUAAACACUGUACCCAGUGAAUAUGACUAUUCUGGACCAUACUUUUUGUCCUUGUGGACCCCUUUCCUUCAUUUUAAACAAUAAUGUUUCGGCCAGGCACGAUGCCCCCCCCCCCACUGUGAUCCCUAUUACUGGGAGGCUGAAACAGGAGGAUCGCAAAUUUCUGGUCAACCUCUGCAAUUUAGCGACUCUCUUAGAAAAUAUAUAUAUAUUUUUUUAAUUUUAAAAGUCUAGGGAUGUAAUUCAGUGGCAAAGUGCACCUGCAUUCAAUCCCCAAUACCAAAAAAAAAAAAAAAAAAUGGGGAGAGAGGGAAAGGGAAAGAGAACUUCUUUUAAAAGUAUACUUUAAAAAUGCGAUGGCAUAAAGAUUAAUCCUGAAAGGACAGUGACCACAACACUCAGAGCGACCAAGAGAUCUUUAUUGCAGAAGUGCAAAAGAGGAGAAAAGAGAGAAAGAAAGAGGCGGGGAGAACAGAGAGAGAGAAGAGGAGAGGAGUGAGAGGGAAAGUGAAAGCAAGAGAAGACAGAGAGCAAGAGAGAGAGGAAUGGCAGGAGGGAAUUUUUAAUAGCCCAGAUCUAAUGGGGUCUCUGGGUCUGCAAACUGCCUUGUUGGCAUACAGUGAUUGGAUCAUACAGUAGUGUCAUCUUCUGCCUUCAGGCAGAGGGGGCAGGGGCUAGAUGUGGGUUUCCGUUGCACUAGACAGUGGGGGUCGAGUGUUCAGCCUUGAGUGGGGUUGAGUGUUCAGACUUGAUGCAAACAGGUGAUAAAGGACAGACAGGGGGGGUUUGAGUGUGUGGGUUAUCCUGCAGCUAUUCAGCCUGCCCUGCAGACAACUUAGUUCAGCCUGUCCUGCACCUAACAAACCCAGGCUGGAUUUAUAUUAUUUUAUUCACAUAUGUUCAUUAUUUCUAAUCAUUUUCAAAAACUAAAAUUUGAGCAUUUUUGUUGCCCCUAGGCACUCUGCACACUACCUAACUGAUAACUCCGCUGGGAAUUUGCAUCCUCCUGGGGGUAUAGUAGCAGCACCUCCACAAUCUGCCACUGCCCCCUCUGUUUAUUCCUUCAGGCUUGACGCACUCAUCUUGUUUGUGCCCGGAUAUUGGUCACCUUUUUUGGUGACCUCUGCCCUCCCAGAAAAGCAAACAACAGGAUGAUCUUGGCACUUGGUGAAAAUAACCAGCAUGCACAAGCCAUAGGAGCAGAAUUGAGGUCAUGGGUACGGUGACCUUGAUGGUGACUUGCCCACAAUAACAGGUUAUUUUAGGGUGAAAAAUAGCAGGCAGUAGUUUGAUACUAGAGUAUAGAAGGUCUUGAAAUUCAAGCAGAAGAGAUAACAAGUGGUCAGGUUGACAAGGAGGCAGCAAUAGAUUCUGUGUAGAGCAGGGGCCUUCUGAAUCUUUUUGUAGAAAGCUCAGAGCCAUGUGCAGACUGGAUUAUUCACCUAGAGAAAGGAGCCUUGUCCCUGGUGAGGGAGCCUACACCUGUAAUCCCAGCGGUUUGGGAGGCUAAAACAAGAAGGAUCAAGAGUUCAAAGCAGCCUCAGCAACAGUGAGGCUUAGCAACUCAGUGAGACCCUAAGAAGAAAGGAGCCUUGUGAGCUGGGCAUGGUGAUGGCACACAGCUGUAAUCCCAAUGACUGAGGCUAAAACUGGAGGAUUGCAAAUUCAAGGCCAGCCUCAGCAAUUUAGCUAGGCCCUAAGCAACUCAGCAAGACCUUAUUUCUAAGUAAAAUACAAAAUAGGGCUGGGGAUAUGGCUCAGUAGUCAAGUGCCCCUGAGUUCAAUCCCUGGUACUCCCCCCAAAAAAGAGAAGCUCAGAAAGGGAGUGGCUGAUACCCUGCAAGGCACCAGGCAGGUGGUGGGCUGCAGAGUUGUUUACAGCAUGACAGGGUUAGGGCUCCUUUGAGAAUGUGUGGACAAAUCCAGGGUAAAUCAAGGGCAGCUGAGAGUGAUCCCUUGAAAUACAUUACUUCCUCCAAAGUUGGAACAGGCUGAAAAGGCAAAUAUAUGUCUUGCUACAGGGUAGGGAUAAUUUUCCCCCCCUAAAUUGAAAGGGGUUAAUUUUCCUGGUAAACAAGAAAAUAAGGUGUGGACUCAUUCUCUGCAUCUUCUGAAAUCCCAAUAGCAUUUGCAGAAUCUGCCCUUCCUCCCUUCUGAGUCUCUGGGGCAGAGCCCACCUGGUAAACCAAGAGCAGCAGAGUUGGCCACUGGCAAUCCAGGUCCCUCUCUUCUGCCCCACCUUUCAUGGUUCCAAUCCUUUACUAGUUCAGAAGAUAGUGAUGGAUCCUGACUGUGUGCGAUGGGAAGUCAGCACCUCAUAAAAGGAACUUAAAUAGCUUAGCCCCAAGGAAAUUGAGGGUCCUAAGGAAGGAACCUAGAAAGGGUAAUAUUGAAAAAGGGACAGAGUCUGAGACAAAAGGAGAAGCCUCUUGAGACCUCCAAAUCACUUACCUGCACCCAGACUGCCUCUGAAGAGCAAUGAGCUAGGAGUCUUAGUUGUGAUCUUCUUUGGUCAUAAGAGAUCUUAAAUAAUUCUCAUUCCCUCUGGGACUCAUUUCCUCAUCUCUAAAUUGAGGAAUAUAUAAGGAAAGCCUGAUUUGUUUCAAGGUUGACAAUGUACCAUAUGAAAACAUUUUACCACUUUUUCCACAAAAAGAAAGUUAAGAGGUCUCUUGGCCUUUUUGUUUGAUUUAUGUUUCAGGGGUAAUUUGUGUUAACUGAUAUUCAGAUAGAUCAGCAAACAAUAUAUAAGUACUUUGUAGAAGGAUUCCUUAAAAAAGAGGCAAAAAUCAACUUCAGAAAUAAAACACUUUAAGAUUUGUCAAGAGGCCAGCCCCACCUGAGCUCCGCCUCUUGUCCUUCAUGUUAGGAUGGUUCCAAAGUAGGCUGGAAUUAAGCUUAUUUAAAGUUGUGUUCAAAAGAUAGAUUUUUGUUGUUGUUGUAAAGAUUACUUGAUCUCAAACAGGGGAUUUCAUACAAAACUUAAGUACAGGCUUGAGUAAAUUGUAAAAGGUAUUUAGGUUUAUAAAAGUGGUUUUUUUUUACCUUUAUUUUAUUUUUAUGUGGUGCUGAGGAUCGAACCCAGCAUCCCUCACAUGCUAGGCGAGCACUCUACCACUGAGCCACAACCACAGCCCCUAAAAGAAAGUAAAACUUGUAAAGAAUUUCAUAUGUAACUGAGUUGAUAAGUAUAUGGGUCUUUGUAGAGGCCUAAAUAGAUAUCAUAAAUAAAUGGAAGAACCUAGACUAAAUAAGUCCAUUUGACUGGAAAAUUCUUUUUACCAUGUAACUCUUACCAUCACCAUUAAAUUAUUUUAAUCAUUUAAUAAAUUGUGUAAGAUACAUAUUAAAGGAGUGGUUUUUUAAUACAAUCAAACUUAGUUUAGAUCCAUGUGUAAUUUUAAAACAGUAAUGCCUAUAGAAUAAAAAGACUAGUAUCAACACUGUCCCAUUUACCAAGUAAUGCAAAAUGUUUAAUUUAAUUAUAUAAGAAGAAGGCAUGUUUGUUAACAAAAAAACUUUUAAAAUACUUGUCAUAUUUGGUAUUGGAACAAAUGUACUAUAUAUUAAAAUGUAUGAAACUUAAUGACUCAUUAUAACAUCAGAAAUAGACAAAAACUGCUUUCCUAAGUGAGUGUUUGAAAUUUAUGCCUUUUGCACUUUAAAAAAAAAAGUGGUAUAUUUUUAUUACUUUCAUGUUUUCAUGUCUACAUGAUGAAACAGAAAGAUUGCUGUAUGCAAGUACCAUUCUGCAAGUAACAAAGUGAGUAUGGCUGAUCUUUCUUCUUAAUAAUGGAAGACCAAACUGGAUAUAACAGUCAUUGUAUUUUUUUCUUUCAGGCUCUAAUUUCUGAUAUGCAAGAGAUAUCCUGAUGAGGCAUAUAAACAGUCUGAUUAGUGGAAUCAAAUUUGUGGAUCUAAUGAAUGAAAAUCAUCUUGAUUCAAGUUUACAGAAUAUUUUAUGGUCAUCAUUGGCUUUAUUUCAGUAAAAUAUAUUUUUUAAAAUUUGUUUUAGUCACGACUACAAAAACAUUGCUUUAGAGAAGUUGAAACCCACAGGAGGAACCACCUGGGCAGUUGCCACAUGGACAGACAUCUGGCAUUCAGGGAGUGCUGUGUGUACUGAUCAACAUGCAUCCAGAGGCUCCCAAAGUGAUUGAUUCAAUUUGAAGUGUUGCGGGGAGUCUUAAUAAUUAUUUUUUGUUGUUGUUGUUUGGUGGUGCUGGGGAUUGAACCCAGGGCUUUGUGCAUGCAAAGCAUAUAUCCCCAGCCCAAUUAGUUUAAAUUACUUUUCUAAAUAGAAAUCUAAAAGAUGCCACUGCCAUCUUUCAUGGGGUGGACCCUCUUGAAUCCUCUUCAGAACCCCUGCACUUGGCCAUGCCUGAAGUCCUUCCUGUCCAGAUAGUCCUUGAGUCUCACGAGCACUGUGUGGGGAAAUCACCCUUUAUUUAUUUAUAGGAGGAGACAGAUGAGUGGGUCCCAAGGCCCAAGUUCUCCAAAGUUCAAGCAGAGUACACAGAGUGUAGCAUGGUGGUAAAUUGAGGAAGCUCAGAUCCCUUCACUCUGGAUCCAAGCCAAAAGGAAGAAAGGGUGAGAGCAGGUCAGAUGGGGAAAAAUUUAGAAGAUUUGUAACAUACAGUGUUGACGAGAGUGUGGGGAAAUGGAGACUCUUUAGUUUGGUUUGGUUUUUAAGACAGUUUAGCAGAAUCUAUCAAAGUUUGAAAUGCACAUAUCCUUUGAUCCAGCAGAUUCCAUAGGAUUCUCCUUCAUAGAAACAUCCACACUUG